rnacentral:lncRNA from 1 species
GCUCUUCUUUCAUUAUCAUGUUUGCAUUUGCAGUCUGUUCUCCACAGUUUCUGCUUUAAUCCUAUUUGGACGGGAGGAAGUAAAAGAAUUAGGACCAUCAGAUAGUUUCAUAAGCUGUAGGGUUUUCUUUCUUGAAUCACUUGAAAAGAUAAAGGUUACAUCUCAUUGUUGUUGCGGGGCUAUUAUGUGCUUCUCCAUGCAUGCAGCAACUUACAGUUGUGGAAAACCUAGGGCAAACAUUUAGUCAAAAAAUUAAAAUACCAUAAGCGCAGUAUAUUUAAUGCACUGCUACUGCACAUGAAAACCCUAAAUUUUAUAGUUUACCAGACAUAUUUGUUCCUCUAUUAUGCAUGCAGAGCUUAUGGUAUGGUUACCUCAACUUUGCCCUUCGACAUUGAGUUGGAAUUAUAUUAUUAUACUGAUUGGAACUGUUAGGAAGACAAAGCUGUGAAAGAGUACAACUCGAACUUUUCAGGAUUCUUGUCGGUUUUCUUUUUUUUAAAAAAAAAGUCUUAGAAUUCUUUUUAUUUUUAAUUGUAUUAUUUUCUCAAUAAAAGAUUUUACUAAAAAAUAGUUUUAGUUUUCUUUUUUUCUUUUAAAAAAUCAAACCCAAGUGCCACAGUAGCAAUAGCAUUAAGUAAUUAUUAUUAUUAUUUUACUAAUUUAUUAAAACAUUGUCUUUUCUCUCUUGAGAUUUUCCUAAUCAUUUUUAAAAAUAAUUUUAAAAAAAAUGAAAAAAAAAAGAAGGAAUGUCUAUAGGAAGAUCUAGCAAUGGCGGGUGUAGAUUCCAUGAAAUGCCAAAUCAAGUAUGAAGAGCAUGAGGGUGAGCUGUUAUGUUCUAGCAUAUUUGUUUGAUUAUGGAAAAGAACAGUUUCACAAAUUCUGCAAAGAGCUGAAGAGGGAUAAGGGAAGAACCUGUUACUGAUAAUUACAGGAAAUGGAGAAUUGCUCGUGGAGGAUUGAUUGGCAUGGUUAAAUCCUUUUUUGGAUUGUUAACUCUGUCCCCUUGAUCAAUCUUUUUUUUUUUUUGCCCCCCCAAUAGUAUUCUACUGUUGGUAUUCUUUCAGUUAUUAGCUCACUGUCCUUGAGGAGCUUAUUUUUUUACAUAGAUGUAAAGGAAUGGAUUUGAGUUUUCAAAUAUUGAACUCGAGCUCAGAUCGAAAUAGAUGAGCUUAAUGUCACGAGUUAGGAUACGGAGCAAAAAAUUAUCCGUGCGACACUUAGCAAGUUUCGGUAACGAAAUGCUAAGUAAGCUUUGAAUUGCAAAUAUUGACGCGUUGCUGCACUAGGCUGGUGUGCUGGCCUGCGAGAUGAGUCAAUUGGCCUACUAGGCCAACGAUGGAUAUCACUUGGCCCGCUGGGGCUGCAAGGGAUGGUGCCUGAUGCGUAUCUAUUGGGCUGUUCCAUCCAACUAGCUGGCCCGUCCAACGAAG